UGGCUCAGAACGAACGCUGGCGGCGUGCCUAAUGCAUGCAAGUCGCACGCAGGCGCCUUCGGGUGCCUGAGUGGCGCACGGCUGAGGACCACGUGGGAACAUGCCCGGUAGUGGGGGACAACAGCGCGAAAGCGGUGCUAAUCCCGCAUACGCUCGCAAGAGGAAAGCACUCGUGCGCUGCCGGAGUGGCCCGCGGCCCAUCAGGUCGUCGGUGUUGUAUACGGCCUACCNAGCCGAUGACGGGUAGCUGGUCUGUGAGGACAGACAGCCAGAC
rnacentral:rRNA from 1 species